rnacentral:rRNA from 1 species
GAACGCUAGCUACAGCUUAACACAUGCAAGUCGAGGGGCAGCAUGGAAGAAGCUUGCUUCUUCUGAUGGCGACCGGCGCACGGGUGCGUAACGCGUAUCAAACCUGCCUCAUACUCGGGGAUAGCCUUGCGAAAGUAAGAUUAAUACCCGAUGUUGUUAUGUUACCGCAUGGUGAUAUAACCAAAGAUUUAUCGGUAUGAGAUGGUGAUGCGUCCGAUUAGGUAGUAGGCGGGGUAACGGCCCACCUAGCCUUCGAUCGGUAGGGGUUCUGAGAGGAAGGUCCCCCACACUGGAACUGAGACACGGUCCAGACUCCUACGGGAGGCAGCAGUGAGGAAUAUUGGUCAAUGGACGCAAGUCUGAACCAGCCAAGUAGCGUGCAGGAUGACGGCCCUCUGGGUUGUAAACUGCUUUUAGUUGGGAAUAAAAAAGAGGACGUGUCCUCUAUUGUAUGUACCUUCAGAAAAAGGACCGGCUAAUUCCGUGCCAGCAGCCGCGGUAAUACGGAAGGUCCAGGCGUUAUCCGGAUUUAUUGGGUUUAAAGGGAGCGUAGGCGGAUUAUUAAGUCAGUGGUGAAAGACGGUGGCUCAACCAUCGUUAGCCAUUGAAACUGGUAGUCUUGAGUGCAGACAGGGAUGCUGGAACUCGUGGUGUAGCGGUGAAAUGCUUAGAUAUCACGAUGAACUCCGAUCGCGAAGGCAGGUGUCCGGGCUGCAACUGACGCUGAGGCUCGAAAGUGUGGGUAUCAAACAGGAUUAGAUACCCUGGUAGUCCACACAGUAAACGAUGUAUACUCGCGGUUUGCGAUAGAAUGUAAGCCGCCAAGCGAAAGCAUUAAGUAUAC